CCAGAGAACUUAGCAGAGAUGGCUUUGGUGCCUUCGGGAACUCUGAGACAGGUGCUGCAUGGCUGUCGUCAGCUCGUGUUGUGAAAUGUUGGGUUAAGUCCCGCAACGAGCGCAACCCUUAUCCUUUGUUGCCAGCGAUUCGGUCGGGAACUCAAAGGAGACUGCCGGUGAUAAACCGGAGGAAGGUGGGGAUGACGUCAAGUCAUCAUGGCCCUUACGGCCAGGGCUACACACGUGCUACAAUGGCGCAUACAAAGAGAAGCGACCUCGCGAGAGCAAGCGGACCUCAUAAAGUGCGUCGUAGUCCGGAUUGGAGUCUGCAACUCGACUCCAUGAAGUCGGAAUCGCUAGUAAUCGUAGAUCAGAAUGCUACGGUGAAUACGUUCCCGGGCCUUGUACACACCGCCCGUCACACCAUGGGAGUGGGUUGCAAAAGAAGUAGGUAGCUUAACCUUCGGGAGGGCGCUUACCACUUUGUGAUUCAUGACUGGGGUGAAGUCGUAACAAGGUAAGCGUAGCGAG
rnacentral:rRNA from 1 species